GCACUACAAAACUGAGAAAGACCCAUAACUUUUUACAGGAUCGUUUCUACAUACUACAAAUAGAGGGAAGUUGGCUUGUGCCUUACUAGAGACAGAUGAACCAAUAAAAUGAUUGGAAAGGCUCUUUCCAAGCAUAAGAGGAGCUUUUGAAGGGACUGAAGAACCGGAACCUCCCCUCCUCCCUCCCGCGACGCUCCCGCAGGCGUCCGGGGGGCAACCCUAGCACCGCCGCCGGUCCCCCCUCCUCCUCUCCCUCCGCCCUCGCGGCCGCCCGGGGGCGCGAGCGGGCGAAGCCCGCUCAUCGCUGGCGGCGGCGGGGCCUUCUCGUCUCCGCGCGUGGGGGUUUCUUCGAGGGUCGGACGCCUCUGGCCGGAUGCGGCGCUUGGCGCUGGCCGUGGCAGCUCGGCAGCGCGCCGAUGUGGGCUGUCGGCGGCGCAUGCCAGCGAUGCGAUGGGCAGUGCGGUGGUGGUGCAGGCUGGAGGCUGGUGGUGGCGGCGGCGCGCCCAGAUCCGCCUCUGGCGCCGCGAGUUGCGGGCGACCUGGGUCGCGGUCGGCCUUC